AGCAAUACGCCAGUGGCGGACGGGUGAGUAAUGAAUCGCUAAUGUACCCCGGACUCCGGGAUAGCUACCCGAAAGGGUAGGUAAUACCGGAUGAGACCACGGUCAGGCAUCUGACUGUGCUCAAAGGUCCGCCGGUCCGGGAGCAGGCGAUUUCGUAUCAGCUAGUUGGUGAGGGUAACGGCCCACCAAGGCGAUGACGCGUAACUGGUCUGAGAGGACGGCCAGUCACAUCGGGACUGAGACACUGCCCGGACUCCUACGGGGGGCUGCAGUAACGAAUCUUCCCCAAUGCACGAAAGUGUGAGGGAGCGACGCCGCGUGUGGGACGAAGUCCUUCGGGAUGUAAACCACUGUCAGGGGAUACCAAGUUCUGAGGAUCCCCAGAGGAAGAGGCGGCUAACUCUGUGCCAGCAGCCGCGGUAAUACAGAGGCCUCAAGCGUUAGGCGGAAUCACUGGGCUUAAAGCGCGUGUAGGCGGGUCGUUAAGUGCCUUGUGAAAUCCCACGGCUCAACCGUGGAACUGCUGGGCAUACUGGCGAUCUUGGGUCAC
rnacentral:rRNA from 1 species